rnacentral:tRNA from 1 species
AUUCAAAUAGCUUAUAUAGAGUAUAAUAUUGAAGAUAUUAAGGAAAUUAAAUAAUUUUUGAAUA